rnacentral:rRNA from 1 species
UACGUAGGGGGCUAGCGUUAUCCGGAUUUACUGGGCGUAAAGGGUGCGUAGGCGGUCUUUCAAGUCAGGAGUGAAAGGCUACGGCUCAACCGUAGUAAGCUCUUGAAACUGUAAGACUUGAGUGCAGGAGAGGAGAGUGGAAUUCCUAGUGUAGCGGUGAAAUGCAUAGAUAUCAGGAGGAACACCGGCGCGAAGGCGGCUUGCUGGACGGCAACUGACGUUGAGGCUCGAAAGCGUGGGGAGCAAACAGGAUUAGAUACCCCGGUAGUCCCU